GAUGAAGAACGUAGCGAAAUGCGAUACUUGGUGUGAAUUGCAGAAUCCCGUGAACCAUCGAGUCUUUGAACGCAAGUUGCGCCCGAAGCCACUAGGCCGAGGGCACGCCUGCCUGGGCGUCACACGCCGUUGCCCCCCCAUCUACUCCUUCGGGAUUGCGGGGGGGCGGAUGAUGGCCUCCCGUGCGCCUAGCCGCGCGGUUGGCAUAAAUACCAAGUCCUCGGCGACGCACGCCACGACAAUCGGUGGUUGCGAAACCUCGGUUGCCCGUCGUGUGCGUUCGUCGCGCAUCGAGGGCUCGAAAAAAUGCUCGGCUCCGGCUGGGCCUUCAACGCGACCCCAGGUCAGGCGGGGUUACCCGCUGAAUUUAAGCAUAUCAAUAAGCGGAGGA
rnacentral:misc_RNA from 1 species